rnacentral:rRNA from 1 species
UUAAGUCCGUACGAGCGCAACCCUGUCCUUAGUUACCAGCACGUAUGGUGGGCACUCUAAGGAGACUGCCGGUGACAAACCGGAGGAAGGUGGGGAUGACGUCAAGUCAUCAUGGCCCUUACGGCCUGGGCUACACACGUGCUACAAUGGUCGGUACAAAGGGUUGCCAAGCCGCGAGGUGGAGCUAAUCCCAUAAAACCGAUCGUAGUCCGGAUCGCAGUCUGCAACUCGACUGCGUGAAGUCGGAAUCGCUAGUAAUCGUGAAUCAGAAUGUCACGGUGAAUACGUUCCCGGGCCUU